rnacentral:lncRNA from 1 species
ACAGGAAGGGGAAACAUAUGAAGCACGAGUUUUUCAAUGUCAGUUCAGAGUGUGUAAUAUAUAUAAUAUUAACAAAGUUAAUAAGAAUCAUUUUAAAUAAGAGAUGAUCAAACUGUCAAGUUUAUAAAUAACCAUUUCAAUGAAACUGAAUAAAAAUCAUGUCAAUCAUAUGAAAACAUUUCAAAAUCAGAAUAUAAUUUAAUAGGGUCACACAUGUAGAACCGUGAGGCGGCUCCAUCUCGUUGAUAGCCCUCUCCUCCUAAGGGAUGGCCUAUCCGAUAGGGGCGGCUCCAUCUAACGGAUAGCCCUUUCCUCUCUCGUAUCACAUGUCACAUCGUAUCAUAUCAUCGGGGGAAGCUACAUCUCGUUGAUAGCCCUUUCCGUGCACUGGCGGCUCCAUCUAACGGAUAGCCCUCUCCUCCCGGAAUCAAACUAGCUAGGUGCACCUAGGCCGUUACCUCCGUUAACGGCUACAGGGUUCUAUCAAGGAUCCCCAAAACCGUUUUCUCAAACCAGUUCAAGUCUCGUCAAAAGUCUCAUAAUCAACUUUCCAAGUUCACAAUCUCAGUUUCACAUAAUUUCCAAAAUCAAAGCAAUAUAAAUUACUUUCUCAUGUCAGUUCAUUAUCAGAAUCAAAUAAACUUCAUAAAAUCAGCUUUCAGAGUUCAAGAAUGAUAAUCAAACAUAUAAAAACAUGUUUCCCCAAUUUAGAUAAAUAGACAAUAUAAUAAAGUAAUUAAAUCAGUUAUAAGACUGUUAAAAAUAUGUCAUAGCAGUUGAAAACCACUCACAGCUACAACGAGCCAACCAGACCGUCCUCAGCAAUUUCGCGACAACCCAAUGAAUCUUCACCCGGCAAAUCUGAACACCAAAAUUAAUUUUCAACCUUCAGCAACUAUAAUCUUAUGUCGUACUACCCGUGAGCAACUACGAAAACCUCAAUUGUACACCCAAAGCCCUAAAUAAUCAAGCAUUUAUCUAACAUACAGUACAAUGCUAAUCUCCAAAUUCGUGGGAUUUAGAAUAUACCUUAAGUAAAAAUAAAGUAUGCAAUUUGAAGGACUAAGUACUCCUCUCGACAAACUCUGGUUUCCAAAUACUAUCCCAAGAGGUCUCCCACGUGAAUGCCAAGGCUUUCCAAUAUGAAUGCUUUCCAAUAUGAAUGUGUAUUCAAUAUGGUGGGAUUUGGUGACAAAGAGAACACUGAAGAAGAGAAAAGAUGGAGGCAGGGGCGCUAGGUUUCCAUUGCAAAGAGAAAGAGAGAACUGACGUGAUGGAGAGGGAGGGUUACGGUUUUAUUUUUUUCUUCUUUGAAUUGGUAAUCAAGGUGGGGGGGCUACGCGGGUUUAAAGGUAGGCUAGGUUAUUAUUUGUUUUUUUUUUCCUAUUUGUUUAUUAACAUUAUUAUCUAGUUUUUUUUUAACCUUUCCUAGUUACCAUUAAAACGGUGCGUUUCAAUCUUCCCCCCUUAUAAAAAUUCGUCCUCGAAUUUUAUAGAUUUAGCUAACUUUAUGUUUCUAAUAGCGAGAGACACUAUUACUCCACGUUCCCAAGACUUCUCUUCACCAAGUGGUCCUCACCAAAGAACUUUCAUUGAAUCAAUUCUCUUAGAAUGCUUACAUUUCACCCUCAUGUCAACCAUGGCUACUGGAUGUUCCAUAAGAUAAAUGUUCAUCUAAUUAUACAUCCUGCAAAAGUUUCAUGCCUACAAGUUUAGCUUGUCCAAUUUCAAAUUAACCUAUUUGGUGACCUGCAUGACUGACCAUACCAGACCUCAAGUAGUGUAAUCCAAUUGCUAGACUAACAAUUGUUAUUAUAAGCAAAUUCCAACAAGGACAACUUCUGAUCUGAACUCCCUCUUUGUUCUACAACAUAAACUCCAAGCAUAUCCUCCAAGCUCUUAAUAGUCCCCCUCAUACUUGUCUAAGCAAUAGCUUGAGUAUAAAAACAGUACUAAGUUCAAGUGAGUCCUCAAGCAAACCUAAACAAAACACCUCCAAAAUUGUGCAAUGAAUUGAGCCCCUCAAUAUAAAUUCACAACUAAGGGUACACUAUGCAAAUAAAUAAUCUCUUCCGAAUAAAACAUAGCAUAUUGAGUUGCGGUUUAAGUAGUGUUCACUUGUAAAAAGUAUGCAAACUUAGUCAACCGGUCCAUGAUUACCUAAACAGAAUCCUAACCUUUGAUCCUAAGAAAACUUGUCACCAGAUUCACCACAAUACUUUCCAACUUCCAUAGUGAUAUCUCGAAAAAUUGAUCUAGCUCUUCUAGAUCUUAGUGAUUUUCCUUCAAUCCACGUCAUACUAAACAUUUGGAAACAAAAGCCACUAUGUCUUUCUUCAUCUCUUCCCACUAAUAAAAUUCCUUCACAUCUUGAUACAUUUUACUAGAACCAAAAUGUAUGGUUUAAAAAUAAUGAUAGAAAUCCUCUCAUAUUUUCCUUCCCAAACUAUUGUAUUAGGCACACACAACUAUCAUUCAAGUCAUAAAAUGUCAUCAGAUUCUACCGAAAAUGUGGAACCUUUUCACUUCAAAAUUCCUCUACCAUCUUCACCACCUAUGAAUCUCGACCUUGAUCAUGUUUAACAUCAUCAACCCAAUCACCAACCAAAUUAAAAUGAAUCUGCACAAAAGUCGACAAUCCUUCGGGAUGGACAAUCCCAAACAUAACCCUUCUAUUAGCAAGCUUAUAGUGCUCUUCUUUAUCCUCAGAACGAACAAGAAUACCUUCAAUAAACACAAUCACAAAGUGCUAAAAGAAUGACUUAAAGAUGCGGUUCAUUGAAUUCUUAAAACAGCGUUGGCAUCACUAAGUCUAAAGGCAUGACUAACAACCCAUUACAGUCAUAACAUGUUUUGUAGGUGGUCUUCGAAAUUCUCUUUCUUAAUAUUCCAUUUAUGGUACCUAGAUCACUAAGUCUUUUUUUUUAUACCAUCAUAUUCUCCAUUUGCUUGUAAUCUACACAUAACUACAUAGUCUUGACUCUCUUCUUCACAGUAAAUCUGGUUUAGAAACUAACUAUAUGGAAAACUCAAUCCCUUUAUUGCAAGGUACACCCGAAAAUUCUCUAAGGAAUACAUUCUGCAAAACACACUACAAAAAUCUCUUCUAGUUUCAAUUUCGCUAAUUGAGUAUCUCUUACCAAAAUCAAUUGUCACCUACAACUCUUCAGUAGUAACUUGUUAACUUUUAAUGCUGAAACUGGAUUAUGAGGUGUCCAACUUCACUCUCCCGGAAAUGAGAAAAAUUACUCUCGCUGUACUUUAAAUCUCACUACCCUAUUUAUGACAGUCCAAAGUAUCAUUGACAAAAGAUUAUCCAAUCUAUAUCCAAAGAUCACAUUAAAAUCAAUUAUGUCUUAAGCUGUAACGACUAUCAACAACUCUCAAUCGAUCUCCAGUGGAUACCUUAAAAAUAAUGGUUCACAAACUCAACUAUCAAAUACUCUCCAAGAGGUUCAGCAAUGACCAACAUCUUAUUCAUGAAAGAAGAUAAUUCACUAAGCUGACAACAAUGAUAAAAGAGUAUAUAUCUUUAGCACUAAGCAAAACAUAAUCAUCUCAAUAUCAUAUAGGGAGUAUACUUACUGCCACUUCCUUGGUUGCCUAAACAUCUUGAUGGGUCAAAAUAAAGACUCGAGCUCAACUCUCCUUACAUGUCGUUAACAUCGACUACUGUUUCAUUUACCAUUAUUUUUAGAUACUGCACGACCUCGGCGAAAAGAACUCAUAGCUUGUCUACAAGUGUUGUAGGGGUUAAAGAAGAUGCCAAAUCUGCUUCUACUAACACUUACUCAUGACCAAAGGAAGUUGCACAACCACCACUAGACAAUCCUCCACUAUAUGACUUGUCUGACUGCACUACUAUUACACCUCUCUAUCUCCAAAGAAAGCUACAUUAUGAUCUUUUGACAAGCAAAAUAAGGUGUAGAUCUCAUGCAAAAAUGCAUUUGAGGAAAAGUGGAUCGUAAGGGCCCCUUAAAUCUAGUCUAUGACUCUACAUAAAGCUUUAAGAUUAUAUACUAUGAUUACUCUAGAGAGUAAUUAUUAUCAAUUUUCUCCAGCAGUUCAAACUUAUAAGCCAAGUCAUAUCUAACAAUUUAGAAGUAAACGAUUUAUGAGUUUCUAGGAAAUUCAUCCACGUUAUCAGAGGCGAUCCAAUCGCUCACGUACCAUAAAGUCAUUAGAUCAAUCAUGUGCUACAAUCCUCCAACUGAAUGAUGUUAACUUUACCGCCCUUAAGGGUGAGCAUCUAAAUGCUCUCUAUAGCUUCUCCAAAGCAUUACUAAACCUUUAUAGAUUCGGCCUUGCACUAGUACUAGAAAAUUAGGAGAUUUAAGUUGUAUGUGACCAGUUAAUAUGACCUCAAUCUGUCCAGUGGCACUUACUUCUUGUUACUUUCCUCUAUCUAACCUCUAGCUGACGCUCGUAAAUUUUUUCUCAUGUGGGCUCCCUUGUUGCUGUCCAACAACCACUCCAACACGUUAUUUCAAAUCAUGUUAAAAUUCCUUUGUACCAACUGUAAGCUCUAACAUCCCUGAAUUUCAUAACCUCAAUAUAAGCACGUUAAUAUGGGCUACAACAGCAAACAACUAGCGCCUACAGGCAAUGGUCCUUGGCCUAAACCACAACGCCGACCACGGCCUCCUAAAAGAGGGUCCUAAUAAGUUAACUCAUCUUAUGAUAAAAAUCCUAAUUUAGGUGACAUCCUCACUAAACAAAGAAUAUUCAUGGAAUAAAUGACAUGACUCGGAAUACAGUGAAUGAGGAGCGAACUCAAAUCACACUUGAAAACAACUUUAGGACUCUCAUGAGGUGUUAAUAGCAUCUUUAAAGUAAAUGGUGUCGCGGUUCACAAUUUACUAAAAAGAUUCUAUCACUACCUCAUGUCUGCAGCUAAUAGGACCUACAGCCAAAGCUCUGAUACCAACUUUGUCACGACCCGAAAACCUAAGCCGUGACCGGCGCACAGACUACCACCCUAGUCUGGCAAGCCUCAUCCUCACAGAAUCAUUUUCCAAACAAUUUAUUCAACAUAACCUUGUACACUUACUCUAUAAAACCACCAGAAUCUCAUUUGUAAUUUCAAUAGUUACAAAAUGAUAAAAUCUGCCAAUAAGCUCUCCCAUAAUCAGUAUUUCAGGUAAAAUAUAAAAUCAACUCGAGCACUCAAGUGCCAACUCUUAAAAUAAAAUAAAAAGUCACAAUCCCAAAUCUAAAUCCACCUAGGACUCCCUAUAGCUGCAGAUAACCAAGAUUAAAUAAAAGACACCAAUGUGACAACCGGCCCAAGGAAACAAGUCGAAUGAUUUGAAUCUGGCAACAGUCUGCUACUCAGUUGCCUGAAAAUCUGUGGAGGGAAAUAAGGAAUGGGGUAAGUCACAAAGACUUAGUGAGGAUUUAACAACCACCAUGAACAGGAAGGGGAAACAUAUGAAGCACGAGUUUUUCAAUGUCAGUUCAGAGUGUGUAAUAUAUAUAAUAUUAACAAAGUUAAUAAGAAUCAUUUUAAAUAAGAGAUGAUCAAACUGUCAAGUUUAUAAAUAACCAUUUCAAUGAAACUGAAUAAAAAUCAUGUCAAUCAUAUGAAAACAUUUCAAAAUCAGAAUAUAAUUUAAUAGGGUCACACAUGUAGAACCGUGAGGCGGCUCCAUCUCGUUGAUAGCCCUCUCCUCCUAAGGGAUGGCCUAUCCGAUAGGGGCGGCUCCAUCUAACGGAUAGCCCUUUCCUCUCUCGUAUCACAUGUCACAUCGUAUCAUAUCAUCGGGGGAAGCUACAUCUCGUUGAUAGCCCUUUCCGUGCACUGACGGCUCCAUCUAACGGAUAGCCCUCUCCUCCCGGAAUCAAACUAGCUAGGUGCACCUAGGCCGUUACCUCCGUUAACGGCUACAGGGUUCUAUCAAGGAUCCCCAAAACCGUUUUCUCAAACCAGUUCAAGUCUCGUCAAAAGUCUCAUAAUC